rnacentral:rRNA from 1 species
GAUGAACGCUGGCGGCGUGCCUAAUACAUGCAAGUCGAGCGAGAAGUUACAGUCCCAAAUCUUCGGAAGCGGGACAGUAAUGGAAAGCGGCGGACGGGUGAGUAACGCGUAGACAACCUGCCUCUCACAGAGGGAUAGCCAUCGGAAACGGUGAUUAAUACCACAUAAAGUUGAGACAACACAUGUUGACCCAACCAAAGAUUUAUCGGUGAGAGAUGGGCCUGCGUCUGAUUAACUAGUUGGUGGGGUAACGGCUCACCAAGGUGACGAUCAGUAGCCGACCUGAGAGGGUGAACGGCCACAUUGGAACUGAGACACGGUCCAAACUUCUACGGAAGGCAGCAGUAGGGAAUCUUGCACAAUGGGCGAAAGCCUGAUGCAGCAACGCCGCGUGAAGGAUGAAGGCCUUCGGGUCGUAAACUUCUGUUCUUAGGGAAGAAAAAAAUGACGGUACCUAAGGAGGAAGCCCCGGCUAACUACGUGCCAGCAGCCGCGGUAAUACGUAGGGGGCAAGCGUUAUCCGGAAUUAUUGGGCGUAAAGCGUGCGUAGGUGGUAAUUUAAGCGCAAGGUUUAAACUAACGGCUCAACCGUUAAAUGCCAUGCGAACUGGGUUACUUGAGUGCUGGAGGGAAAGCGGAAUUCCUAGUGUAGCGGUGAAAUGCGUAGAUAUUAGGAGGAACACCGGCGGCGAAGGCGGCUUUCUGGACAGCAACUGACGCUGAGGUACGAAAGCGUGGGUAGCAAACAGGAUUAGAUACCCUGGUAGUCCACGCUGUAAACGAUGAGUGUUAGGUUCUUGGAAUAAUCUGGGAGCCGCAGCUAACGCAUUAAACACUCCGCCUGGGGAGUACGCACGCAAGUGUGAAACUCAAAGGAAUUGACGGGGACCCGCACAAGCAGCGGAGCAUGUGGUUUAAUUCGACGCAACGCGAAGAACCUUACCAAGUCUUGACAUAAUACGGAGGGAGUUAGAGAUAAUUCCUUAUCACUUCGGUGAGCUGUAUUACAGGUGGUGCAUGGUUGUCGUCAGCUCGUGUCGUGAGAUGUUGGGUUAAGUCCCAUAACGAGCGCAACCCCUAUCGUUAGUUACCAUCAUUAAGUUGGGGACUCUAGCGAUACUGCCGGUGAUAAACCGGAGGAAGGUGGGGACGACGUCAAAUCAUCAUGCCCUUUAUGACUUGGGCUACACACGUGCUACAAUGGCAGAUACAGAGGGCAGCGAAAGAGCGAUCUGAAGCGAAACUCACAAAGUCUGUCCCAGUUCGGAUUGUACUCUGCAACUCGAGUACAUGAAGUUGGAGUUGCUAGUAAUCGCGAAUCAGAAUGUCGCGGUGAAUGCGUUCCCGGGUCU